rnacentral:rRNA from 1 species
GUGUCAGCAGCCGCGGUAAUACGAAGGUGGCAAGCGUUGUUCGGAUUUACUGGGCGUACAGGGAGCGUAGGCGGUUGGAUAAGCCCUCCGUGAAAUCUCCAGGCUUAACCUGGAAAGUGCAGAGGGGACUGUUCAGCUAGAGGAUGGGAGAGGAGCGCGGAAUUCCCGGUGUAGCGGUGAAAUGCGUAGAGAUCGGGAGGAAGGCCGGUGGCGAAGGCGGCGCUCUGGAACAUUUCUGACGCUGAGGCUCGAAAGCGUGGGGAGCAAACAGGAUUAGAUACCCUGGUAGUCC